AACAUACAACUCUUACAAUUCUGUGUCAUGAGAAUCAAGAAAUCACAUCAAACACACUAUUUUUCUAUGAUAUUAUCCCUCAGCAACUUAAAAGUAUCUUAUGCAAAAAGAUAGUGAGGAGAAAGGGAUAAUGGAGGGAUGGGCAAAAUGGGUGAAGGGGAGUUAGAGAUAGAGACCUCCAGCUAUGGAAUAAGUUACAGGGAUGAAAAGUACAUACAGCAUAAGAAAUAGAGUGAAUGGUAUUCUAACAGUAUUGCAUGGUGACAGACAACAGCUACACUUGUGAUGAGCAUAGCAAUAACUAUACACUUGUGGAAUGACUAUGUUGUACACCUGAAACUAAUGCAACAUUACAUGUCAACUAUACCUCAAUUUCUAUAAAAGAUAUGGAGGGGAGAACAAAAAGCAGAUGAGACCUUAUAGGAGUAAAUAAAUUUUGGAGUUGAAAAAAAUAUUAAAAAUGCCUCUUGAAUUCUAGUAUUAUCUUAUAAUCUUAUGGUCUUUAAAUUUCAAAACACCUGUAAUAAUCGCACUUCCAUGCUUUGGAAAAUGAAAUGAUCCGGUACAUAUAUAUUCCACAUCCCACACAUGCACAAUACAUUGAGUUUGUCUAUGCAGAUAUACAUAAGACUCGCUUCUAAACUAUAGGUAGGAGAUCAUCUUCCUGAACUAGGUAUCCCCUUUCUCAGUUGGUACCAGCAUUCUUACAGUCAUCAACAUUAGAAAACAGAAUUUCCAAGUUCUAUAGAUUUUACAUUUUAAAUAUUUCUUGAGCACAACUGAUUUAUUCACAGAGUUGUGAAGGUAUCCUGCUGUUCUCAGUGCCUCUACUCUCCCACCCUUCAUCAUGGUCCUCUACUCUAUGUGGUCCUCUACUCUAUGGUGAAUAAUAAAACUCAAUUCUGAACAUAAUCCAUCUAAAUCAUUCAGUUACUCUCCAUUAGUGCCCCUCACCCCUCCUCUAUUUUCCUUCCCUUGGUUAAACCCCACGGGUGCUUCAAAACUCAGCUCAGGUAUUGCCUCCCCAAGGGAAGGAAAAGGAUAGAACAAAUGUCCUUCCUUUGUGCUCCCAUAGCACCCUAAGUUCUUUAUCCACUACAAUUCCCAUCAUGGUUCUAGAAUGGUUUGCAUGUUUAUCCCCCACCACACCCUCCCCAAAGCUCACUCAAGGCAAAGACUUUUGUUUUCUGGCACCCCAGCUCCAGAAACUGGGCCUGGCAUAUGAAGUUAUUUGUAGCGAGUGAAGGAACAAGAGCCAUUAGAUACCAAAUUCACCUACUUCUCAGUUGUGCCCGGUUCCUGGGACAAUGGCAGUAACGUUGAGCCCCCCUGCAGCCUUGGGAGUGGAGAGCUGCUGCUCCUGAAAGUCUUUCUUCUCCCUACCCUAUUGGAAUACGUCCACAAAACUGAUAAGGAUUGCUGUGAGAAGACAGAAUGAGAUGGUAGUUUGCAGAUUGGCGUUUUGCACUUAAGUACCCAGGUUAAAACUGUCAUAGAAACAACAAAGUCCUUGCUACCUGUGAUGACCUGAAAAUAAAAUGCAGAACAAUCCUGCUAGAGCCUGGGAUUGGGAAGUCCUCACGGGAAGAAAGCCAGGAGGAAAGAAAGGUUUCUAGACCACGUGUUUCGGCAGCAGUGGCACGGUGCUCCAUUUAGAAGGGAGUUGAGCAUGAUACAGCUUCUGUCAUCUCUGCAUGUUAAAACAAUCUAAGUACAGUCGACUGAGAUCAAUUUUCUGGUUAAUGAUGAAGAUUUAUAGAACAGCAGGAGAAGUUGACUCCUGGUGCUCAUUUAGAGGAAAGCCAACUCUGCUCAAAGGAGGAAGAUAUCUUCAACAGAACAGGAGAAAGCCAACACACAAAAGUACAAGCAAGAAAUGGGGAAAGACACAGAAGAGUCCUGGUGAUAUAUUUUAAGUAUUUAGAGUUCCGGAGACCAGAUAAUGAAUUUUUCAGUCACACAAGCCAAUACAUUUCCUUUUUUGCUUUAGUUUCAAUAGGGUAUCUAUCGCUGGCAUUUUAAAGACUCCUGAGUAAAGCAUAUGCCAAUCAUCAGAUAUUUAUGGAACUCAACUUUAUAAUAGACACUGAGGAAAAAUAAAUGAGACGUUAUGUCUGUUCUGGAGGAGCUCACAGUUUAUUUCCUUAAUAAAUAUUAUUCCAAAUCAUUUAGUGAUUUAACCAACAUUAUAGAGUACUCUGGGAGGUGGGUGUGUGUCUACGAAUAAGAAUAGAAGUUUUAUCUACUGUAAUCGAACAAAAUAUAAUGCACUACGUUUAGAUGUUUUAACUCUGAGUUGUAGGAUGGCAAAGAUGUUAACACACAAAUCUACACUUAUUCAAUAUAAACUCAUUAAUUCUAUUGUGAAUAAUAUUAGGCAGUGGGAAUGUGAAGUUAAAUGAGAUGGAGCCUCUGCUCUCAAAACCUCAAAGUCUAGGGGAGAGGGCAGAAAUUUCAACAACUAACCGCAUGGUAAUGCAAUGAAUUCUAAAGGAAGGCAGUUUUAUAGACAGAUUGUGGCACGGAAAGGGUGAGGGCUCUCUUGCAGACCUGGUCCUGGGGCGUCAAGCAAGUUGGCAGCAUUUGCUGAGUGAGGGCCACUUCAUACAGAAUCUGGGUGAAAAGGCAAAGUGGCCUUGGAGAAGUAUCCACCCAUUCAUCUGCACUGUAGGAAGACCAUACAGAAGAGCAAGGCCAAGGAAAAGUCCAGGGCAGUGAGGGAGCCUGUUGGCUCUGUGGUCCACAGUUAGAUUUGUGCCAGAAACCAAGAAAAUAAAAUACCAGUCAAAUCAAAUAUGUUGGUUUCCAUCCGACAUUAACCAAAUGUAUAAUUUAAAUUCUACAGUAAAAUCUUUUCAUGAAAGAAAAAAAAAAAAAACCAGGAAACUACAUAGUGUUCAGAUGUUUGGAACUCCAGAUUUGACCCGAAGUUCUCUAACUUUCAUCCCAUUUAAAAAGCAAAACAUAUUUUUGAUGCGACUGUUCUGUUUUGCUGUACCAGGAUGGCUGCUGACCUGAUGUUCCUGCUAAAUAUUGACACAGCCCAACUGACUCAUGUUUUUGUCAAAGAGUUUAGAAUAUGAAGAAACUGGAUGACUAGAAUACAAUAUGAAUUGCUUUGCAUUUCCAAACCUUCUAAACUUUCAAGCAUAUACUUGUUUCACCACAUUUAACUAUGUAAAGAGAAGAUGUUUUUUUCA